rnacentral:rRNA from 1 species
UAUACAUGCAAGUCGAACGGUCAGUACCAAUACUGAUAGUGGCGCACGGGUGCGUAACGCGUAGCCAACCUACCCGAAUCUGGGGGAUAGCCCGCCGAAAGGCGGAUUAAUACCGCAUAAAACUGCAGAGCGGCAUCGCUUAACAGUUAAAGAUUUAUUGGAUUCGGAUGGGGCUGCGUGCCAUUAGCUAGUUGGGGAGGUAACGGCUCACCAAGGCGACGAUGGCUAGGGGAGCUGAGAGGCUGGUCCCCCACACGGGCACUGAGAUACGGGCCCGACUCCUACGGGAGGCAGCAGUAGGGAAUAUUGGGCAAUGGACGAGAGUCUGACCCAGCCAUGCCGCGUGCAGGAUGAAGGCUUUCUGAGUCGUAAACUGCUUUUGCCAGGGAAGAAAAAGAGGGAUGCGUCCUUCACUGACGGUACCUGGUGAAUAAGCACCGGCUAACUCCGUGCCAGCAGCCGCGGUAAUACGGAGGGUGCAAGCGUUGUCCGGAUUUAUUGGGUUUAAAGGGUGCGUAGGCGGCUCAUUAAGUCUGGGGUGAAAGCCCGUUGCUCAACAACGGAACUGCCCUGGAAACUGGUGAGCUUGAGUACAGACGAGGGUGGCGGAAUGGAUGCUGUAGCGGUGAAAUGCAUAGAUAGCAUCCAGAACCCCGAUUGCGAAGGCAGCUGCCUAGACUGUAACUGACGCUGAGGCACGAAAGCGUGGGGAGCGAACAGGAUUAGAUACCCUGGUAGUCCACGCCGUAAACGAUGGAUACUCGCUGGUGGCGAUAGACGGUCACUGGCUUAGCGAAAGCGUUAAGUAUCCCACCUGGG